rnacentral:lncRNA from 1 species
UUUUCUGAAGGUUAAUUGGCUUUUUCUCUUUUUGUUUUUUUCCUCCACAGAAUUACCAUCUAACACAAGGCCACUUUUCAAGAUGAAGGAGGGAUUGAACUGUCACACCAGUGUAAUCAAUUAAAUGACGGAGGAAGGAGGCAUUUGCUACCUGACCUUAAUCUCCUGGGCAAGAAUGACUGAAUGGGGAAGGCUGAAUACAAAUCCAUUUGGCUGUUUCUAUUUGUGGAGUCAAUUGUGAGACAUCCAUUUAUCAUAGCUGUGGAAAACUAGCAGAAGGUCCAGAGGAAAGCCAUGGAAACAAUGAAGAACCAGGAAAAUGGAUUUCAGCCAUGUAUCCAGGAGAGAUUCAACUUGACAGAGUCUAAGUCUUCAUGUGACGGUGACAAGGCAGUUGUGGCAGACCUCUCUCCCACCUCCUUCAGAUUUCUGCUCUGGAUGGAUAUUCCCCUCCCUACACUGACCCCAUGUGUCGUGUCUCUGACGUGAGGUAAGCUCUAGAUUGCCAUGGCAUCUCUGCAUCCUGUCACUUCCUGCCAAGCCUCCUGUCCAAAUCUCCAGGGAGAGUCCAACUCCAGCCAAAGCAAGUCUUGAACUUCAAUCUCAGAACAUCUCAGAUACUUAUUAUAAGUUGUGGGUGAGUAGCAUCAAGUCAGAUUUUAUUUAUUUAUUAUUUUAACUAGUUGGGGGUUGUGUGUGAGUGUGUGUUACUUGCUCAGUCGUAUCUGACCCAUAGGCUGUAGCCCAACAAGCUCCUCUGUCCAUGGAAUUCUCCAGGCAAGAAUAUUGGAGUGGAUAGCCAUUCCCUUCUCCAAGAGAUCUUUAAGACCUAGGGAUCGAACCUGGGUCUCCUGCAUUGCAGGUGGAUUCUUUACCACUGAACCAUCAAGGAAGCCCAGUUUGGGGUGGGAUGAGGUACAAAUAGGGAGUUAACAUGAUUAUGGGCUACAGGUUAAAUGCAUUGAUGAUUUUAUAAUUUUACCAUCAAAUACAUAGACUUGUGGGGGGACUGAAAUGAAAACAGAGCUUCCUUUUAGGACUCAGCUGAUUGAUGGUGCCAGUGGAGAACUUAGUUUGGGGGCCUUCCUUUGUGGAACUGGUUGCUCUGAUAGUCUUGCCAUAUGUUCCAGAGGGCCACCCUCAGACCAUGAGUGACAGAAGUACACAUGUGCUUGAGGUACAAAGGAUGCAGUCUUGGUAACUGCAGGGACAAGUAGAGAUGCUGCUUGGGAGGAAGUCUCAUCUCAGCACUGACUGAUGAAGAGCCCCAACAUAUGACGUUGGGGUUCAUCCUACUUCCGGCUUGCACUCCAAGGCUGCCUGUGGCAGUUGGGCACAAUUUCUUUCAACUGUAGAAGAAUGAGAGAGACCAGAGAAUGGACAGAUUUUGUAAAUACAAUGAAACUGAGAAAGAGCUGGGCCUGGGGAUACAUUAUUCCCCAGCAUGAAUCCAGCUUGUUCAGGGUCCCCUGGUUCUGAGGUUUAUUUCAGGCUCUAUGUUUUCUUAUCUCUGUUCCACCUUCACCUUAUGCUCUCCUGAUUCAUCUUCUCAGUGACCUCAGAGAUUCUAGUGAAUGACAUUAAGGUUACCAUCCAAAAGCCCAUGGCUGCAAACUAUACCAGCUAGAAGGCCCUUUGAUCAAUAAUAUAUCUGGGAAAAGAUGUGUUUCCUCUUUUGUUCCUUUUAGUUUUCUUUCAUACAGAAAAGAAAUCGAAAGAUACCACAACUGGAUAAAUAACUUGGAAAUAAACUCAUCUGAUCUCAGAGUAGCCUUGGGUAG